rnacentral:rRNA from 1 species
ACGCUCGACACCUAUGGGAGGCAGCAGUUGGGAAUAUUGGACAAUGGAGGAAACUCUGAUCCAGUGACGCCGCGUGAAGGAAGAAGGUCUUCGGAUUGUAAACUUAUUUUGUCAGGGAAGAAAAAUGACUGUACCUGAAGAAAAAGCACCGGCUAACUACGUGUCAGCAGCCGCGGUAAUCUGAGCGGGCUGGCAAGGC